UCCGGGGGAAGCUCACCGCCGAGGCCACGCACUGGGUGCGCGUCACCCGCGCCCCGCCUCGGGGAAGGUCUGAGAGAAGGGCCGCCCGCGGCUCCAGCAGAGCCCCGCCCGCGAGGGGCGGGUGAGCCACCAGCAAGGGGGGGCGCCGCGUACUAACGGGCCGGCCUGGGCAGGAGAAGCCGUGCAGGUUCCGGGGGGUGGGGGGGUCACCCCCCUCCCGCUCAAGCGAACCCCGGUGGAUGCUGGUGGCCCCGCGGUGCUUUGAGACAGACUCACGGCCGGCGAUCGUUGAGUCCAAUGGUGUGAGGUGGGGCAGCGCCCUACAACCCAAUUCAGACUACUCUCCCCCGGA
rnacentral:RNase_P_RNA from 2 species